CAGAAGAGAAACAAGAGUACUUCAGCUCUAAAAAUAUAAGAAUCUUCUUCCUCAUAAUUCAAGCAGUCACAAUGGCUUCACUGAAGUGUCUCAUCGUCCUCUGCAUGCUUCAUCUGUGUAUUCGAAACAUUGAGGGACAGGUGAACCCUGCUGCGCUUGCUAAUAUGAUACAAUAUUUUGAUGACUAUGUCCAGCCAAAGACAAAAAAAGAAACUAACGCUCAGUAUGCAAUAGCAAUCAGUGUUCCACGGGAUCUGUGUACAAACGAUCAAUCUCAUAUUGAGAAUGUGUUCAGCAGGGAAGAGGCACAACAUGUAAAAAAUUUUAUCACUGAAGGAGAGAUAUGUGUUCGCUGCUCAGCAUCACAAAAUGUCAUUGCUACAAGGCCAAACGUAGUCACAGAUGAACAUUCUGAGCAUAUUCUGCUCUUUCCUCCAGGUAAUUCUCCCUUGGACACACUUCUGAAGAAUACAGAUCAAAACAACUGUGUAGUUUUCUAUUCUUACAACUCACCUUGUGUGAAAAAGUGCAUUAAGAGUACUGAUAAUAUUUUUCCGGGCCUUAAAAACUGGAACGAUGUUCGAAAAGGGGGAAUGAAUGUUUUUGUAUUUGAAAAGCUCUGGAAGGAUGCCAAGAAGGAAAUUUCCAAUGAUUUCCUAAUGAUUAAUAAGCUUGUGCCUCUUUAUAGGUGUAAGAGUACAAAUGUAGUGGAAUGUCAGAAUUGUGUGAAUGGAAACACUGCGAAUGUUUUUUGUCUGCCUGAUAAUAAAUCUAUACUUUUGUAUUUCCAAGAAAUGCUUUUGUCAAUGAUCGAAUUGUUUCUUUCAUAAAACUCUUUUUGGCCAAGUUAGACUACCAAAUCUAAAUUAUAUUAACCAAACACACAUAUCAUUCUUGCACCUGUUCUGU